CCUACGGGAGGCAGCAGUGAGGAAUAUUGGUCAAUGGGCGCGAGCCUGAACCAGCCAAGUAGCGUGAAGGAUGACUGCCCUACGGGUUGUAAACUUCUUUUAUAAAGGAAUAAAGUGAGGCACGUGUGCCUUUUUGUAUGUACUUUAUGAAUAAGGAUCGGCUAACUCCGUGCCAGCAGCCGCGGUAAUACGGAGGAUACGAGCGUUAUCCGGAUUUAUUGGGUUUAAAGGGAGCGUAGAUGGGUUGUUAAGUCAGUUGUUAAAGUUUGCGGCUCAACCGUAAAAUUGCAAUUGAUACUGGCAGCCUUGAGUACAGUUGAGGUAGGCGGAAUUCGUGGUGUAGCGGUGAAAUGCUUAGAUAUCACGAAGAACUCCGAUUGCGAAGGCAGCUUACUAAGCCAUAACUGACACUGAAGCACGAAAGCGUGGGGAUCAAACAGGAUUAGAUACCCCAGUAGUC
rnacentral:rRNA from 1 species